rfam:Paracoccus aminophilus JCM 7686, complete genome.
CUCUGGAGAGAGGCGCGCAAGCGUCCGCCGAAGGGAUAACGAUCUCAGGCGCAAAGGACAGAG